GGGGAAAAAUUUAUUGCUAUUAGAUGAGCCUAUAUUAGAUUAGCUAGUUGGUGGGGUAAUAGCCUACCAAGGUAAUGAUCUAUAGCUGAUCUGAGAGGAUGAUCAGCCACACUGGAACUGAGAUACGGUCCAGACUCCUACGGGAGGCAGCAGUGGGGAAUAUUGGACAAUGGGCGAAAGCCUGAUCCAGCCAUGCCGCAUGAGUGAAGAAGGCCUUUGGGUUGUAAAGCUCUUUUAGUGAGGAAGAUAAUGACGGUACUCACAGAAGAAGUCCUGGCUAACUCCGUGCCAGCAGCCGCGGUAAUACGGAGAGGGCUAGCGUUAUUCGGAAUUAUUGGGCGUAAAGGGCGCGUAGGCUGGUUAAUAAGUUAAAAGUGAAAUCCCGAGGCUUAACCUUGGAAUUGCUUUUAAAACUAUUAAUCUAGAGAUUGAAAGAGGAUAGAGGAAUUCCUGAUGUAGAGGUAAAAUUCGUAAAUAUUAGGAGGAACACCAGUGGCGAAGGCGUCUAUCUGGUUCAAAUCUGACGCUGAAGCGCGAAGGCGUGGGGAGCAAACAGGAUUAGAUACCCUGGUAGUCCACGCUGUAAACGAUGAAUGUUAAAUAUGGGGAGUUUACUUUCUGUAUUACAGCUAACGCGUUAAACAUUCCGCCUGGGGACUACGGUCGCAAGAUUAAAACUCAAAGGAAUUGACGGGGACCCGCACAAGCGGUGGAGCAUGUGGUUUAAUUCGAUGCAACGC
rnacentral:rRNA from 1 species